UUCGCAAUGCCCGAAAGGGUGACGAAGCGACGCCGCGUGCGGGAAGAAGGCCUUCGGGUUGUAAACCGCUGUCGGGAGUUAGGAAGUGCAAGGAUGUUAAUAGCGUUCUUGCUUGACUAAGGCUCCGGAGGAAGCCACGGCUAACUCUGUGCCAGCAGCCGCGGUAAUACAGAGGCGGCAAGCGUUGUUCGGAAUUAUUGGGCGUAAAGAGCACGUAGGCGGCUGUGUAAGUCGGUUGUGAAAGCCUUCCGCUUAACGGAAGAACGGCAUCCGAUACUGCAUGGCUUGAGUGCGGGAGGGGAGAGUGGAACUUCUGGUGGAGCGGUGAAAUGCGUAGAUAUCAGAAGGAACACCGGCGGCGAAAGCGGCUCUCUGGUCCGUAACUGACGCUGAGUGUGCGAAAGCUAGGGGAGCAAACGGGAUUAGAUACCCCGGUAGUCCUAGCCGUAAACGAUGGGCACUAAGUAGAGGGGUUUU
rnacentral:rRNA from 1 species